AGGGAUUGAUGAGUAAUCAAAUUGAUUCCGAAUUAUGAAAUGAUUUCUUUUGUAAAUUGAUUUCAUUUUCUCUAUUUCAAAGACUUAUGAGUGGUAGCCUUGAUUAUACUCUUUUAUGAGUAGUUAAAUUGGAUCUGAAUUGUGAAAUGAUUUCUUUUGUAAAUUGAUUUUAUUUCCUCCAUUUCAAAGACUUGUGAGUGGUAGCCUUGAUUAUACUCUUUUAUGAGUAGUUAAAUUGGAUUUGAAUUGUGAAAUGAUUUCUUUUGUAAAUUGAUUUCAUUUCCUAUAUUUCAAAGACUUGUAAGUGGUAGCCUUGAUUAUACUCCUUUAUGAGUAAUUAAAUUGGAUCUGAAUUGUGAAAUGACUUCUUUUNUAAAUUGAUUUCAUUU
rnacentral:lncRNA from 1 species